rnacentral:ncRNA from 1 species
UACCUGGUUGAUCCUGCCAGUAGUCAUAUGCUUGUCUCAAAGAUUAAGCCAUGCAAGUCUAAGUACGAGCUCCCGUACAGUGAAACUGCGAAUGGCUCAUUAAAUCAGUUAUGGUUCAUUUGAUCGUACAGUUUACUUGGAUAACUGUGGUAAUUCUAGAGCUAAUACAUGCGAGAAGCGCCGACCUCGCGGGAGGCGUGCAUUUAUCAGACCAAAAACCGGCCGCGUCUUCGGGCGCGUUCGCCUUGGUGACUCUGGAUAACUUUGCGGAUCGCACGGUCUAGCACCGGCGACGGAUCAUUCAAGUGUCUGCCCUAUCAACUUUCGUCGGUACGGUAUUUGCCUACCGAGGUUCUUACGGGUGA